GAUGAACGCUGGCGGCGUGCCUAAUACAUGCAAGUCGAGCGAACGGACGAGAAGCUUGCUUCUCUGAUGUUAGCGGCGGACGGGUGAGUAACACGUGGAUAACCUACCUAUAAGACUGGGAUAACUUCGGGAAACCGUAGCUAAUACCGGAUAAUAUUUUGAACCGCAUGGUUCAAAAGUGAAAGACGGUCUUGCUGUCACUUAUAGAUGGAUCCGUGCUGCAUUAGCUAGUUGGUAAGGUAACGGCUUACCAAGGCAACGAUGCAUAGCCGACCUGAGAGGGUGAUCGGCCACACUGGAACUGGGACACGGUCCAGACUCCUACGGGAGGCAGCAGUAGGGAAUCUUCCGCAAUGGGCGAAAGCCUGACGGAGCAACGCCGCGUGAGUGAUAAAGGUCUUCGGAUCGUAAAACUCUGUUAUUAGGGAAGAACAUAUGUGUAAGUAACUGUGCACAUCUUGACGGUACCUAAUCAGAAAGCCACGGCUAACUACGUG
rnacentral:rRNA from 1 species